rnacentral:rRNA from 1 species
UACGUAGGGCGCAAGCGUUGUCCGGAAUCAUUGGGCGUAAAGCGCGUGUAGGCGGCCGAGUAAGUCUGCUGUGAAAGUCCAGGGCUCAACCCUGGGAUGCCGCAGAUACUGCUUGGCUAGAGUACGGGAGGGGCGAGUGGAAUUCCUGGUGUAGCGGUGGAAUGCGCAGAUAUCAGGAGGAACACCUAUGGCGAAGGCAGCUCGCUGGAACGUUACUGACACUGAGACGCGAAAGCGUGGGGAGCAAACAGG